rnacentral:rRNA from 1 species
CCUACGGGAGGCAGCAGUGGGGAAUUUUGGACAAUGGGCGCAAGCCUGAUCCAGCAAUGCCGCGUGAGUGAAGAAGGCCUUCGGGUUGUAAAGCUCUUUUGUCAGGGAAGAAACGGUCUACUCUAAUACAGUGGGCUAAUGACGGUACCUGAAGAAUAAGCACCGGCUAACUACGUGCCAGCAGCCGCGGUAAUACGUAGGGUGCAAGCGUUAAUCGGAAUUACUGGGCGUAAAGCGUGCGCAGGCGGUUAUAUAAGUCAGAUGUGAAAUCCCCGGGCUCAACCUGGGAACUGCAUUUGAGACUGUAUGGCUAGAGUGUGUCAGAGGGGGGUAGAAUUCCACGUGUAGCAGUGAAAUGCGUAGAUAUGUGGAGGAAUACCGAUGGCGAAGGCAGCCCCCUGGGAUAACACUGACGCUCAUGCACGAAAGCGUGGGGAGCAAACAGGAUUAGAUACCCUGGUAGUCCACGCCCUAAACGAUGUCUACUAGUUGUCGGGACUUAAUUGUCUUGGUAACGCAGCUAACGCGUGAAGUAGACCGCCUGGGGGNGGUACGGUCGCGAGAGUAAACGUUAAAGUAAAGUUAGUACGGCGUGAGACGUGACCGACGGACGACGACGAGGGAGGAGG